CACUAUGCCUGGCCCUAAACAUUAAUAGUACUUUACAACUGCUAUCCGCCCGGGUACUACGAGCAUCAGCUUAAAACCCAAAGGACUUGGCGGUGCUUUAGAUCCACCUAGAGGAGCCUGUUCUAGAACCGAUAACCCCCGUUCAACCUCACCCUUUCUUGUUUAUCCCGCCUAUAUACCACCGUCGUCAGCUUACCCUGUGAAGGCCCUAUAGUAAGCAAAAUUGGCAAAGCCCAAAACGUCAGGUCGAGGUGUAGCGUAUGAAAGGGGAAGAAAUGGGCUACAUUCUCUGACCCAGGGAACCACGAAUAAUUCAUUGAAAUAUGAGUCUGAAGGAGGAUUUAGCAGUAAGUGGAAAAUAGAGCGUUCCGCUGAAACCGGCCCUGAAGCGCGCACACACCGCCCGUCACUCUCCCCGAGCUUAAAGAACUGCAAAUAAAUAAGACCCCAUAACUGCAAAGGGGAGGCAAGUCGUAA
rnacentral:rRNA from 1 species